GUUCGACUUUUUAAAAAUUACAUGAUUUGAGUUCAGACCGGUGUAAACCAGGUCGGUUUCUAUCUUCUUUAAAAUUUUUUACAGUACGAAAGGACCUAAAUAAUUAAUUUUAUU
rnacentral:rRNA from 1 species